rnacentral:lncRNA from 1 species
AGCUGCUGCCGCCUUGAGAUAAAAGGAAAAUUGCAGGUGUGGAGCCCUGGAAUCCAAGUGAGCACCUGUGUUUCAAGGAGAGAAAGAGGUCAGGGGGAUAAAUCCUGCGCCAAGAUCAAAUCCGAUGAGGAAAGAACACUGCCCAUUGAAUCUGGUAGAGAGGCCCCUGAGCAAAGCAGACAGUGGAGCUCCUGGGCUAGGGCACUUUCUGGAAGAGAAGGGAGAUGAGAGUGGACACAGCCCUGUGGAGAAAAACGGUCUCAUCUUAAAGAUGGGAGAAAUUGCAGUGCAUCGCCUGGAGGAGGGAGGGCUGGCACCCAGGGCCCACGGGGAGCCGGAGGGCAGGGAAGGCUGCCUCUGGACCUGAGGCAUGUCCACAGCAUCUGGGCAGGGAGAGCCUGGGGCAGGCUUCUUCCAACUUUGCCAACACUCCAGUAAAAUAAGGAGCAAGUGUGACGUUUUAUUUUAUGAGGCAACUUGGCUAGCUGUGGUACUCAGUUUUUGUUCAAACACCAGUCUGGUGUUUCUGUGAGGCUGUUUUUUAGAUAUGAUUAAUAGUUAAAUCUGUAGACUUUGAAUGCAGCGGGUUACCCUCCAUAGCGUGGGCGGGCUUCAUCCAAUCUGUCGAAGGCCGUAAGAGCAAAGACUGCAGUCUCCUGAGGAAGGAACUCCCCCUGCGGCGCGCCUUCCGACUUGCUGCAGCUUCGGCUUUCUGGAUCUGCAGCCUGCCCUGCAGAUUUUAGACUUGCAAGCCAAUCAGUUCCUUAAAAGAAAACAGUCUCCCUCAUCUCUCUCUAUUGAUCUCUAGCUCUCUAUCCCCACCCCCUUCCCUCCCCCCACUCCACAUGCUAUUUGUUCCGUUUCUCUGGAGAACCCUGACUGCUACACAGGGCCCUUAAGUGACAGGGAGAAAGAGAGGGUGAAAUGUGAGAGCAGGAGGAAGAGGGCGUGAGACGGCCAUCUUGCAGAGUGGAAAGGUGAAUGGACGAUAACAAAGGAAAGGGUGAAUUAUAUAUAACCUGGAAAGUGAAGUGUGCACAAGGAAAUGUGAUGUGUAACCUAAAGCCCCAGUGCUUUGCAGGUGGGCAGCCGUUCCACUGUGACAUCGCCCCCCAGGUGGGCAGCCGUUCCACUGUGACAUCACCCCCUGCAGAGGAGGUCAUCAUUCCGCAUAAUAUGCUUGUAGACUGAUGACAAAUACAGGUGUGCAAAUAUGUGAAGCCCCAUCACUGGACCAACCACACCUGCCUUCUCUGGGAGCUGUCAGUACCCACAGGCCCCAACCACAGCUUGCGCGGCUAACCAGGCACCAGGGACUUGCAUGCUUUUUGCAAUGUGAGAAGCUCUGUUGUAAGCUGGGCAUAGUAGAUACUCAAUAAACUGUGGCUUUAGGAACAGUCCUAGGAAUAGUAGUGCUAGUUCUUACUGUGUUAGUCACAGACAUCUAGGGGGCAUGGACAGCAAGGCAUUAAUCUGGUCCCUUAUUGUGGCCUGUGGAAAGGGGUCAGUGAGAAGCUGCUCAGUGAAACAGCUUUGCAUGAUGACAUUUUCUCACUAUAGAGGCCUCCCAGCUGUCACAGAGGCCUGUUCAUCUAUUUUAUUUUUUCUUUUUUUGAAAGCAAAAACACUUUGAGAUUUGCAGGUAGGCUGACAUAACCCACUCUCAGGGGCUCCAGUGAAAGUACCUCUUUUAAGUGGCCAAGUUGUCACUAAAGAGAUGACAUCUUUUUCCUGGAAAUCAGCGUUGGAUGCUACAGUCAAGAAAAUAAAGACCCCAAACAUUGGUAUUUGGAGCUAUUCUUGAGCAUUGGGUUGUUCAUGUUUAUUCAGCUGGACCAUCAGGGACAAGCUUGUGCCUUGACAAAUUCAGAUUUGCAGAAAUGACCAGAUUUAUCGUCUUGAUUCAGUGAGCGGGGGAGGGCACCCAGAGGAGGCUGGAAUAUGGCUUGAUAAUGGGAGAAGUAUUUUUGCGAGGUU